rnacentral:rRNA from 1 species
UCUCUUACAGGCAAUCGGUAAAUUGUCUCCUGUGCAAAAGCAGGGAUAACCCCAUAAGACGAGAAGACCCUGUGGAACUUAAAAUCAGCAACCAACCCUAAGAACAUACACCCCACCCGGGCUCACUUACCUAACAGGGACACUGGUCUGCAUUUUUCGGUUGGGGCGACCUUGGAGCAAAACAAAACCUCCAAAAAUUGGACCACACAUCCAGACCGAGAGCAACCCCUCAACUGGCUAACAGCACCCAGACCCAAUAUAAUUGAUCAAUGGACCAAGCUACCCCAGGGAUAACAGCGCAAUCUCCUCCGAGAGUCCAUAUCGACGGGGAGGUUUACGACCUCGAUGUUGGAUCAGGACAUCCUAGUGGUG